rnacentral:rRNA from 1 species
GUUUGAUCCNGGCUAGGAGAACGCUGGCGGCAGGCUUAACCAUGCAAGUCGAACCUCCUUCGGAGAGAUGGCAGACGGGNAGUAACGCGNGGGANUCUACCCAGUACUACGGAACAGCAGUUAGAAUGACUGCUAAUACCGUAUACGCCCUCCGGGGGANAGAUUUAUCGGUAUNGGAUGAGCCCGCGUUUGAUUAGCUAGUUGGCGAGGUAANGGCUCACCAAGGCGACGAUCAAUAGCUGGUCUGAGAGGAUGAUCAGCCACACUGGGACUGAGACACGGCCCAGACUCCUACGGGAGGCAGCAGUGGGGAAUAUUGGACAAUGGGCGAAAGCCUGAUCCAGCCAUGCCGCGUGUGUGAUGAAGGCCCUAGGGUUGUAAAGCACUUUUCAACGGUGAAAAAUAAUGACGGUAACCGUAGAAAAAAGCCUCCGGCUAACUUUCGUGCCCAGCAGCCCGCGGUAUAAGG